CGACUGGAAGUUUUCACUGUCCUGCUGUAAAAGUAUGGGUCAGUUAAUUAAACAUCUGCCCUCUGCUGGCCAGGUAUUGAACACUCAGCUAAAAUAUUCUGAAAGACAAGGGUGCCGAGAUAAGACAGUGAUACAAAUAAAAGACUAAAACAACAGAAAAAGAGCAAGAGGAAGAAUAAAGAUGAGCCAGGAAAGAGAGACUGGACGAUGGUGCCGUUGGGAAGGAGCAACAUUUUAGUGAAGAUCAUUCUGUGGCUGACAGUCUCUGUCUCUGAUUUCAAAUGUACUUUGAAAUCACACAAUAAAACUAAACAAUGUUAGAAAAUAACAAUAUAAUAAUGACAUUUGUGUAUAGAUAGGUACAAGAAAUGAUGAUAUGAUUACAAUAAAAUUGUGAUGAAUUAAUAAAGAAAGAAUGAAUAAAUAAAAAGAAAGAAAGAAAAUGAAACAUAAUUGUUUGGUGACUCUCUUUCAUCAACUCACUUUUAAUCCACAUAAGUCUACGAAGAAGACGCUUAAUAAAGAAGAAAUAAAAAUAGAAAAUAUAUUAUCUCCAUCAUGAGCGCUUCACAACUUCUAAGGUAUGACUUUUUUCUGUGGAAAGCCACCUGCAUAUGUCUCAUGCACUCAUUUUGAUUGAAGUGAUUGUAUAAUAACAUGUAAAAUGCUUUACAUCUUAUUAUAUUUUCAUGCAUGUAAUUAAUUGAAUCUUGCAAUAAGGUGAAAACAUUUAUGAAAUUAAAUAACGAAUCGAUAAACUUU